rnacentral:lncRNA from 1 species
UGUCGCGGAAAGCAUUCUACGCAUUCAACACCAUGAUCACAUGUGAUGCCGACCUGUGGAUUCUGGAUGUCAGUCCAUGUUUCCUGGGGUCAUGUCAUGACUCAUGGGUAUGGUGGGGGAGCCCUCUCCAUCAGCACCUGGAAGCAAAACUGCGGCUUGCUUGGAGACUCCAGCUAUCCAUUAGAACAGUGCCUCCUGACACCAGUACCCGGACGACCAGCUCCUGGCACCCCUGAGAACUACUACAACAAGGCCCACACCGCCAUGCGCACUGUUGUGGAGAGGUGCAGCGGGGUCCUAAAGAGCAGGUUCCAAAGCUUACAGCGUUAUCGGACCUUGCUCUACAAUCCCGAUCGAGCAGCCACCAUCAUUGCUGCUUGUGCAGCUCUGCACGAUAUCGCGUUGGCGGCACAUGAGCCUGUUCUCGAAGGGCAUGAUGACGACACCGACGAU